rnacentral:rRNA from 1 species
AGAGUACUACAAGCGAAAAGCUUAAAACUCAAAGGACUUGACGGCAUUCCAACCACACUAGAGGAGCCUGUCCUAUAAUCGAUAACCCACGCUAUACCUCACCUAUGCUUGCACAAACCAGCCUAUAUACCGCCGUCUGCAGCCCGCCUUACAAAAGUACACACAGCGCGCAAACCAGUCAACACUAGAACGUCAGGUCAAGGUGUAGCUUACGCAUAGGAAGAGAUGGGCUACAUUUUCUAACAAUAGAAAACUACUACCACCACCAUGAAACACGUGCACAAAGGAGGAUUUAGCAGUAAGCCACGCAAGACUUGCCUGGCUGAACAACGCUCUGGAAUGCGU